rnacentral:rRNA from 1 species
CAGUAGCCACGGGAAUACAGAGGGUGCGAGCGUUAAUCGGAUUUACUGGGCGUAAAGCGUGCGUAGGCGGCUUCUUAAGUCGGAUGUGAAAUCCCUGAGCUUAACUUAGGAAUUGCAUUCGAUACUGGGAAGCUAGAGUAUGGGAGAGGAUGGUAGAAUUCCGGGUGUAGCGGUGAAAUGCGUAGAGAUCUGGAGGAAUACCGAUGGCGAAGGCAGCCAUCUGGCCUAAUACUGACGCUGAGGUACGAAAGCAUGGGGAGCAAACAGGAUUAGAUACCCCCGUAGUCCCUGUCUCUUAUAC